GCGGCCUAUCAGCUUGUUGGUGAGGUAAUGGCUCACCAAGGCRACGACGGGUAGCCGGCCUGAGAGGGCGACCGGCCACACUGGGACUGAGACACGGCCCAGACUCCUACGGGAGGCAGCAGUGGGGAAUAUUGGGCAAUGGAGGCAACUCUGACCCAGCGACGCCGCGUGAGGGAUGAAGGCCUUCGGGUUGUAAACCUCUUUCAGYAGGGAAGAAGCGAAAGUGACGGUACCUACAGAAGAAGCACCGGCUAACUAUGUGCCAGCAGCCGCGGUAAUACAUAGGGUGCAAGCGUUGUCCGGAAUUAUUGGGCGUAAAGAGCUCGUAGGUGGUUCGAUACGUCGGAUGUGAAAAUCAGGGGCUCAACCCCUGACCUGCAUYCGAUACGGUCGAGCUAGAGUUUGGUAGGGGAGACUGGAAUUCCU
rnacentral:rRNA from 1 species